GCGCGUAAAUUGCCCGAAUCCUGACACAGGGAGGUAGUGACAAGAAAUAACAAUACAGGGCUAUCUUAGUCUUGUAAUUGGAAUGAGUACAAUUUACAUCUCUUCACGAGGAUCAAUUGGAGGGCAAGUCUGGUGCCAGCAGCCGCGGUAAUUCCAGCUCCAAUAGCGUAUAUUAAAGUUGUUGCAGUUAAAACGCUCGUAGUCGGAUUUCGGGGCGGGCCGACCGGUCUGCCGAUGGGUAUGCACUGGCCGGCGCGUCCUUCCUUCCGGAGACCGCGCCUACUCUUAGCUGAGCGGGCGCGGGAGACGGAUCGUUUACUUUGAAAAAAUCAGAGUGUUUCAAGCAGGCAGCUCGCUCUUGCAUGGAUUAGCAUGGGAUAAUGAAAUAGGACUUUGGUGCUAUUUUGUUGGUUUCGAACACCGAAGUAAUGAUUAACAGGGACAGUCAGGGGCACUCGUAUUCC
rnacentral:rRNA from 1 species